ACAUAUGCAAAACCGCACGUGCCCGGACGGUGCCCAUGAGAUGCGUGCCCUUCACGUGUGCAAGUUACAUCCUAGGAUGUGAGGACAGAAACGAUUUACUCCCUACUCAGAGUCCACAGAGCGCACACAGAGAGGCCGUCGUAAAUGCUUUUGGAAGGAAGCGGAGGGUGCCCGCUGCUUCUGGGGCCGCCCGGGGUGUGAGCACGGGGGCCUCCGAGCCUCUGGUGUUCCCUCCAGCUCCCCCGAGCCCGUGCGUGUCCCCGAUGUCCUCAGGUCACCCUAGGAGGAAGAACGCCCCGUGACUCAGCACCGACGACACGUAACAUCUCGUUUUUCCCUUCCGUGACCCAGGAGCAGAUCGAAAAGAACCUUCUGGAAAUCAUGCUCAGCAUCUCCUCACCACCCGACCUGGAGCCAGGCCUGAGGAAGGAUGGCGGUCAAAGUGGCAGCUGCUGUUGAGCCAGCUUUGAACUUGAACCAAUUUGAAAUCCAGGUCAUAAAUCCCCAGCUCCGCCUGGGGGACUCACCUUCAGGUCUGGGCGUGGAGUCUGCAGGAGAGGCCGGGGGUCUCCAGCACAAUGCGGCAUUGACAGGACUGUGGAUUCUAUUUGAUCCAACGUUUGUCGACGACCUACUAAGUGCCCAGCACUCCCCCAGGUGCUGGGGAUCGGCCGAUGAGUCAGACAGAAGCCUGGGCAGCGAGGCCGCUUCCGGCGCCCAGCGUGAGGAGCGGUCCUGAGAAGCUUCCAGAAGUCCCCCAUUCUGUCCGGCUGGCUUCUCAGCAGGGUCUGUGCCUGGACACUGGCAGGUGCCAGGAGCCUCACCGCAGAAUAUGGAAUUUUUGACCCCACAUCAAGCAGCUUCACCUCAGGUGCCUUGCUCCUGGUGUCCCAACCACCCUUUCUUCCCUGUGUCUGUCUGCCAGACUGGUGUCAUGGAGAGAAUUAUUUCAUGUCGCUAUCCUGUGUCUCAGCAGUUGGCAUCUAUGCUCCACUGAGUUAAGAUCUCCUGGAGCCUUCUGUAUGAGGCGAGAGCCCCUACUUCUUACCUUCCUCAUCGCUUCUGUAUUUAUAGGUCAGGAUAAGCAGCACUAGCUGCUGUAACAAACAAGCCCAACUCUCAGGGGCCGAGUAGCUGUCAGCCAGCAGACUCUCCUCCACACGGUCACUCAGGGACCCAGGCUCCCUGCAUCCUGUGGCUCCGCCUUCCUUUCUGUCCUUGGCGUCCUCUCCACUUGGCCUGU